rnacentral:rRNA from 1 species
AAAUUUCAUUUUUAGUGAUUGGAAUGAUGGGAAUCCAAACCCCUUUCAGAGUAACAAUUGGAGGGCAAGUCUGGUGCCAGCAGCCGCGGUAAUUCCAGCUCCAAUAGCGUAUAUUAAAGUUGUUGCAGUUAAAAAGCUCGUAGUUGGAUUUCUGCUGGAAGCAGCCAGUCCGCCCUUAGGGGUGUGUACGUGGUGAAAUUCCGGCAUCCUCCUGGUGGCGCUUCGCACUUAACUGGGUGGAGUGCUUUUCCAGGACUUUUACUUUGA